rnacentral:lncRNA from 1 species
AUGGAUAUUGGGUCAGCAGCUAACAUUGUGUAUUGCAGAUGCUCAGAGAGCAUGGAAUCUGGGAGACCAAUCAGGCACCCGCGAGAAGCCCAGCCUGAAGAUUCCGGGUUGAGCGUGUCCCACCGGGUAUGUUUGCCUGCACAUGGAAAGGGCAGUGGGCAGUGGCCGCCUGUCAGAGCUCCAUUACCACGGGGGGACCCCCCCUCCCCAAGCCCAUUAGCGCAAGCACUGCGUCCGCUGUGCAGUCACGCUCCGCGGCCGGCUCACCACAUGCCAAAUAGCCACACAGUUACUCUUGCCACAGGCUUUGAACCAAUUAAGUGAGCAAAGAGGGUGGUUAACGAGGAGUAAACAGUCCAAAUGCCCGUAAUUACACUGAGGCUUUGUGCUCAUACAUCUGAGCCAAGAGGUGGGAGCAGGGCCGGAGGGAGCACGGUCUCCUCCUCUUUGUUCUGUGUGGUCUGCCUGCUGAAACCCCUUCCACCCAGCCCACCCAUCCCAUACUCUGAUGCGGAUGUCUGCUGAGUUUCUCGUCGUUUUCCACAGUGGAGAGGGGCGUGCAUGCUAGGUUCUAAGUAUUAGGAUUAGAACGGAGCAAGGCAAAGUCCUGAUCUCAUGGAACUGACAUUUUAAGGUCAGGUAAUCAACAGGUAACAACCAUAAAUGCAUACGUGCUAAGAGGAACAUUGAUGUGGGGUCAGGGCAGCAGAGAGCUACUGGGGGUGGGACUUUAAUCCAUACGGUGUGAGAGGCCUCUGAUAAGGUGACGUCUGCGCAGAGACAGGGAGUCAGCCAGGCAGCUACCUGAGGCAAGAACCUUCGGUGCACAGGGCGUGGCAGGUAUGGAGGCCCUGAGACAGACUUGCAGGGGCAGGCCAGCGUGGCUGGAGCAGAACGAGCAUAACCUAGGACCAUUCGGGGUUACACAGCUGCACGGAAGGGUCAGAGCACUGUCUGGGUAUGGGGAACAGCGUGUGCAAAGGCCUCAGGAGAGAGACAAGUGCUUUCUGUUUUUCAGUGUUUUACCUUGUUUGACCCUCAAAACAAAGCUGUAAGGGUGAGAAGGGUAGAUUUCUUUUUCCAUUUGACAGCUGAGGACUGGAGCUCUAGAAUGUCGAACAGCUUAGCCAGGAUCACAGGAAUAUCCUGAUUCAGGAGCAGAAAUCUGUGGUCUGUGCCUCCCUUUCAGGUCAGGUCUGAAGCUCGUUCCUUUUGAGGCGGAGCCAUUGUGAGCUUCCAAAACAAGAUCAGCUCUCAGGCAAGCCUCUGAAUGGGUCACAAAGUUCAGAGUGGAGCCAAGGAAAGCCAAGUUGCCAAGCGUGAUAGAAUGCUCUGUGGUGAGUGGGUGCAGAGAAUUAACCCCCGCCCCCACGGCUGUAGUAAUUUAACCAGUGCAGCUGAAAUACCCAGCUCUCAUCUUUUGAAGAAACCUUUAUGGAAUCACUGAAAGUUAGAAUCAUGUUCGUGUCCGAUCGUAACUUAAUAUUUCUGGAAUAAAAUUCAUCUCCAAUGUAUGUCCUUCGGAAUU